CUUGUUUUGCUCUGUGCCCAUGCUCCUUCGGGGGCGGCCAUGGAUGCGGAUAUUGGCACUCCGUGCUUCGUGUGCGGCGGGCUUAAGCGGGGGCUGUCGGCGUCAGGAUGGACACAAUGAGUGGUGGACGGAGCACCAGCAGGAUGUCGUGGUCCCCCGUCGCCUUAAGGGGCUUAAGAGACCCGGACUAGGUGAGCCGUGCUCCGUACGAGGAGGACGAGCCGUCUCGCAAU
rnacentral:misc_RNA from 1 species